ACAAUGAAGAGUUUGAUCCUGGCUCAGGAUGAACGCUAGCUACAGGCUUAACACAUGCAAGUCGAGGGGCAGCAUGGUCUUAGCUUGCUAAGGCCGAUGGCGACCGGCGCACGGGUGAGUAACACGUAUCCAACCUGCCGUCUACUCUUGGACAGCCUUCUGAAAGGAAGAUUAAUACAAGAUGGCAUCAUGAGUCCGCAUGUUCACAUGAUUAAAGGUAUUCCGGUAGACGAUGGGGAUGCGUUCCAUUAGAUAGUAGGCGGGGUAACGGCCCACCUAGUCUUCGAUGGAUAGGGGUUCUGAGAGGAAGGUCCCCCACAUUGGAACUGAGACACGGUCCAAACUCCUACGGGAGGCAGCAGUGAGGAAUAUUGGUCAAUGGGCGAGAGCCUGAACCAGCCAAGUAGCGUGAAGGAUGACUGCCCUAUGGGUUGUAAACUUCUUUUAUAAAGGAAUAAAGUCGGGUAUGGAUACCCGUUUGCAUGUACUUUAUGAAUAAGGAUCGGCUAACUCCGUGCCAGCAGCCGCGGUAAUACGGAGGAUCCGAGCGUUAUCCGGAUUUAUUGGGUUUAAAGGGAGCGUAGAUGGAUGUUUAAGUCAGUUGUGAAAGUUUGCGGCUCAACCGUAAAAUUGCAGUUGAUACUGGAUAUCUUGAGUGCAGUUGAGGCAGGCGGAAUUCGUGGUGUAGCGGUGAAAUGCUUAGAUAUCACGAAGAACUCCGAUUGCGAAGGCAGCCUGCUAAGCUGCAACUGACAUUGAGGCUCGAAAGUGUGGGUAUCAAACAGGAUUAGAUACCCUGGUAGUCCACACGGUAAACGAUGAAUACUCGCUGUUUGCGAUAUACGGCAAGCGGCCAAGCGAAAGCGUUAAGUAUUCCACCUGGGGAGUACGCCGGCAACGGUGAAACUCAAAGGAAUUGACGGGGGCCCGCACAAGCGGAGGAACAUGUGGUUUAAUUCGAUGAUACGCGAGGAACCUUACCCGGGCUUAAAUUGCAGAUGAAUUACGGUGAAAGCCGUAAGCCGCAAGGCAUCUGUGAAGGUGCUGCAUGGUUGUCGUCAGCUCGUGCCGUGAGGUGUCGGCUUAAGUGCCAUAACGAGCGCAACCCUUGUUGUCAGUUACUAACAGGUCAUGCUGAGGACUCUGACAAGACUGCCAUCGUAAGAUGUGAGGAAGGUGGGGAUGACGUCAAAUCAGCACGGCCCUUACGUCCGGGGCUACACACGUGUUACAAUGGGGGGUACAGAGGGCCGCUACCACGCGAGUGGAUGCCAAUCCCCAAAACCUCUCUCAGUUCGGACUGGAGUCUGCAACCCGACUCCACGAAGCUGGAUUCGCUAGUAAUCGCGCAUCAGCCACGGCGCGGUGAAUACGUUCCCGGGCCUUGUACACACCGCCCGUCAAGCCAUGGGAGCCGGGGGUACCUGAAGUGCGUAACCGCGAGGAGCGCCCUAGGGUAAAACUGGUGACUGGGGCUAAGUCGUAACAAGGUAGCCGUACCGGAAGGUGCGGCUGGAACACCUCCUUU
rnacentral:rRNA from 2 species